rnacentral:sRNA from 1 species
CAUCUCGCCAAACAAAGUGCCCUACUAUAUCAAGAGCUGAUAGCCAGCAACCACACUUCAAGAAAUGGAAGACAGCUGUGAAUGCUUCAUUCAGGCCCAAGUAAAUAUAGGAAGAGGUGUAGUGGUGUAUAGCGUACUGAGUUUAAAGAAAAAACACUCUGAAAGUAAUGGGAAGAAGGAAGUUAUGAUAUAUUAGUCAGGCAGUAGAUAUACCUUAAGCUGAAAUGAAAUACAGGUAUCAUGGAUAUGAGAUCUGUAUAUGUAGAGGAAAGAGUAAUGGAAAAAUGUCAGGGGCAGUGAAAGCAAAUGAGAAGUGGGAUGAUUUAUAUUUAUUGAACUAAUGUCCGAUAUCUCUUUGACAGAGUUGAAUAAUCAUCAGUUGUCGGUGUCCUUUCUGUAGUGUUCCACAUUGGAUAGGUGAAGAAAUCCUGAUAGUCGAUUAUUGAUCACAUAACAAGGUCAAUUUAUCAUAACUGAAGCGCAAUCAAUUUGUGGGUGCAAAGAAGAAACAAAUUCUGGAACCGAAUAAUGUUUAUAUUGCUUUUCCCUUUGGAAACAAAGCAGAAAGGGGCCUUUCUGCUUGUAAGAUAAACAUUUCUUCAAUACACUAUGGAAGUGCUUUGAAAUAAAGAUUCCGAAUGGUUCAAAAGCAAA